UUACGGCCAUUUCAGGUUGAAGCACCGUUUAUCGUAUGAUCACCUCAGUUAAGCAACAUCGAGCUUGGUCAGUACCUAGAUGGGUUACCAUUUGGGAAUGACAGAUA